GUAUUUUUCAUUGUGCCAAAAAGUUGCCAUGACCAUCAUUAAACCUGUUUUAACACCAAAUAAUAAGGAAAAUAAAUAAAAAAUUCGAACUUGGUGCAGAAACUCACUCCAAAUAAAUUACCUUCGAAAAUAUUUAUAUAAUGGUAGAAAUAUUCCAAAAUUCCAUAUUUUGGGAUUUAUACACAAAAGAUAAACAAAUUAGAGGCCAAGAGGCUGCCAGAAGGGAAAAACGGGGCCUGGAAAGGCCAUUGUGAGGAAUGAGCUGGGCCUAAAGAGGCCACUGGCAGGCAGGAGCUGGGACUGCCAAAGCCACCGAAAGGCAGGAGCUUUGGACUGGGGAGGCUACAGUGAGGCGAGAGCUAGCUGGGCGUGGAGAGUCCACUGUGAAGCCGAGGCCGGGCACGUGCAGGCCUUCAAGAGGCAGGAAGCCGGGCCUGCAAAGGCCGACUGGAGGUCAAGUUCUGGGCCUGAAGAGGCCACCAAAAGUCAAAAGCGGGGCCUAGGAAGGCCGCUGAGAGCCAUGAGCUGGGCUGGGCCGAAAGAGGCCACUGGGAGGCAGGAGAGGCUGGGCCUGGAGAGGCUGACUCGAGGAAGUUUUGCACCUGGAGAGGCCGCCGAGAGGACGGAGCUGGGCCCGGGGAGGCCAACUUGCAGCUCUUCCAGGCCCACUUCCAGGAUGACUUGAGUACGACUUAGGCAUGCAGAGGCCGCCGGGAGGCUGGAGCUGGGCCUGGAGAGGCCGACUUCAGGACGAUUUGGGCCUGCAGAGGCCGCCGGGAGGCGCAAGAUGGGCCUAGAGGAACCCACCGACCGGAGGCCGUUGGGGGCCUGGAGACGCCGUCGGAGGGCAGGAGCUGAGCCUGGAGAGGCCACCGUGAGGCCUGACCUGGGCCUGGGGAGCUUGGCUUCAGGAAGUUGUGGGCCUACCAGGGCCACUGGGAGCUGGGCGGGAGCUGAGUCCAAAGAAGUUGUUGGGAGGCCGGAGUCGGGCGUGGAGACGCAGCUGGGAGGAAGAGCUGGGCCCGGAGAGGAUGCCGGGAGGCUGCAAGUGGGUCUGGAGAGGCCGACUUGAGGAGGCCCGGCCUCUGCCUCCCGCAUGGCGGCCUCUGCAGGCCCAGCUGUUCCUCCUGGCUGCAUCUCUCGGCCCACAUCCUGCCUCACAGCAAGCAAGCUCUUUUGGCUCAGCUCCCACCGGCGUUUGUAGACCCUGAAGUUUCUGCAGCCAAGCUCUUCAGGCCCACAUCCUGCCUCCCGGUGGCCUGUACAGUCCCAGCUCUGGCAGCAGAAGAGCGUCUGCAAGCCCCGCUGUGGCCUCCCAGGGGCAUAUCCAGGCCCAGCUCUCCCCCCACUGCGGCCUCCCGGGGCCAAGUCCCUGCCUGCUCCCGGCAGCCUGCGUGCGGCCCUGCUCCUCCCUCACGGGGGCCUGUUGAGGCAGGGGCUCACGCGGACCUCUCUCGGCGUGGGAGGGGCCGGUGUGAGGCAAGGGGCUCACGCUGACCUCUCUCGGCGUGGGAGGGGCCGGUGUGAGGCAAGGGGCUCACACCGACCUCUCAGCAUGGGAGGGGCCGGUGUGAGGCAAGGGGUCACGCUGACCUCUCUCUGCAUGGGAGGCGCCGGCGUGAGCCAAGGGGUCAGCGUGGGAGGGGCCAGUGUGAGGCAAGGGGCUCACACCGACCUCUCUCAGGGUGGGAGGGGCCAGUGUGAGGCAAGGGGCUGACGCCGACCUCUCUCAGCGUGGGAGGGGCCAGUGUGAGGCAAGGGGCUCAUGCCGACAUUUCUCAGCGUGGGAGGGGCCAGUGUGAGGCAAGGGGCUCACGCUGACCUCUCGGCGUGGGAGGGGCCAGUGUGAGGCAAGGGGCUCACGCUGACCUCUCUCUGCGUGGGAGGGGCCGGUGUGAGGCAAGGGGUCAGCGUGGGAGGGGCCAGUGUGAGGCAAGGGGCUCACGCCGACCUCUCAGCGUGGGAGCGGCAGGUGUGAGGCAAGGGGACACGCUGACCUCUCUGCGUGGGAGGGGCCGGUGUGAGCCAAGGGGUCAGCGUGGGAGGGACCAGUGUGAGGCAAGGGGCUCACACCCACCUCUGUCAGGGAGGGAGGGGCCAGUGUGAGGCAAGGGGCUCAUGCCGACCUCUCUCAGCAUGGGAGGGGCCAGUGUGAGGCAAGGGGCUCACGCUGACCUCUCUGCGUGGGAGGGGCCGGUGUGAGGCAAGGGCUCACGCUGACCUCUCUCGGCCUGGGAGGGGCCGGUGUGAGGCAAGGGGUCAGCGUGGGAGGGGCCGGUGUGAGGCAAGGGGCUCACACCAACCUCUGUCAGCGUGGGAGUGGCCAGUGUGAGGCAAAGGGCUCAUGCGGACCUCUCUCAGUGUGGGAGGGUCCGGUGUGAGGCAAGGGGUCAGCAUGGGAGGGGCUGGUGUGAGGCAAGGGGCUCACACCAACCUCUGUCAGGGUGGGAGGGGCCAGUGUGAGGCAAGGGGCUCAUGCGGGCCUCUCUCAGCGUGAGAGGGGCCGGUGUGAGGCAAGGGGCUCACGCCGACGUCUCUCAGCGUGGCAGGGGCCAGUGUGAGGCAAGGGCUCACGCUGACCUCUCUCAGCGUGAGAGGGGCCGGUGUGAGGCAAGGGGCUCAUGCGGCCCUCUCUCAGCGUGGGAGGGGACGGUGUGAGUCAAGGGGCUCACGCCGACCUCUCAGCAUGGGAGGGGCCGGUGUGAGGCACGGGGUCACGCUGACCUCUCUCUGCGUGGGAUGUGCCGGCGUGAGCCAAGGGGUCAGCGUGGGAGGGGACAGUGUGAGGGAAGGGGCUCACACCUUCCUCUCUCAGGGUGGGAGGGGCCAGUGUGAGGCAAGGGGCUCACGCCGACCUCUCUCAGCAUGGGAGGGGCCAGUGUGAGGCAAGGGGCUCAUGGCGACCUCUCUCAGCGUGGGAGGGGCCUGUGUGAGGCAAGGGGCUCACGCUGACCUCUCGGCGUGGGAGGGGCCGGUGUGAGGCAAGGGCUCACGCUGACCUCUCUCGGCGUGGGAGGGGCCGGUGUGAGGCAAGGGCUCACGCUGACCUCUCUCGGCGUGGGAGGGGCCGGUGAGAGGCAAGGGGCUCACGCUGACCUCUCUCGGCGUGAGAGGGGCCGGUGUGAGGCAAGGGGCUCACGCUGACCUCUCUCUGCGUGGGAGGGGCCGGUGUGAGCCAAGGGGUCAGUGUGGGAGGGGCCGGUGUGAGGCAAGGGGCUCACGCCGACCUCUCUCAGCGUGGGAGGAGCCAGUGUGAGGCAGGGACUCACGCCUCUGCGCAGGGUGCCAGCGGCAUGAGUUGGGCAUCAACAGGCCACCGUGAGGGAGGAACUGGGCCGCACGCGGGCUGCCGGGAGGCCGCCGUGGGGGCGAGAGCUGGGCCUGGAGAGGCCCCUGGGAGGCAAGAGCGGGACCUGCAGAGGCUGUUCUACCGCCAGAGCUGGGCCUGUACAGGCCACCGAGAGGCAGUAGGCGGGCGCGAAGAGCUUGGCUCGAGAAAGUUCGGGGCCUACAAAGGCGGCUGGGAGCUGGGCAGGAGUUGAGCCCAAAGAGCUUGCUUACUUGCUGGGAGGCAGGGCCGGGCGACGCCGACUUCAGGACGACUUGGGCCUGCAGAGGUCGCCGGGAGGCCCAAGCUGGGCGUGGAGGAGCCCACCGACCGGAGACCAUUUCGGGUCUGGAGACGCCAUUGGAGGGCAGGAGGUGAUCCUGGAGGCCACCGUGAGGCCUGACCUGGGCCUGGGGAGCUUGGCUUGAGGAAGCUGUGGGCCGACCAAGGCCGCCAGGAGAUGGGCAGGCGCUGAGUCCAAAGAGGUUGUUGGGAGGCAGCAGUCGGGCCUGGAGACGCAGCCGGGAGGAAGAGCUGGGCCCGGAGAGGACGCCGGGAGGCUGCAAGUGGGUCUUUAGAGGCCGACUUGAGGAGGUUCUGGGCCCGGAGAGGCCGCCGGAAGGGAAAAACUGGGCCUGGAAAGGCCGUUUUGAGGAAUGAGCCCCAUGGGCCUGAAGAGGCCACUGGCAGUUGGGAGCUGGGCCUGCGGAAGUGGCGGAGAGGCAGGAGUUUUGGACUCGGGAGGCCGCAGUGAGGCGAGAGGUAGCUGGGCGUGGAGAGUCCGCUGUGAGGCCGAUGGUGGGCCUGUGCAGGCCUUUGCGAGGCAGGAGCUGGCCCUGGACAGGCCGACUUGAUGACAGUCUGGGCCUGGAGAGGCCGCCGGGAGGAAGAGCUGGGCCUGGAGAGGCCGACUGGAGGAAGUCCAGAGCCUGAAGAGGAUGCAAAGCAGCAAACACUAGGCCUGGAAAGGCUGCCCUGAGGCACGGGCUUGGCCUAGAGAGGCCACUGGGAGGCAGGAGCUGGGCCCGCAGAGGUUCCCGAGAGCGGGGAGCAUUGCCCCAGGAGGCCACGGUGAGAAAGAUGUGGGCCUGGAGAGCCCACUGUGAGGUAGAGGCCGGGCCUGUAGAGGCCGCCGACAGGCAGGGGCUGGGCCCGUUGAGGCCACGAGAGGCAUGAGCUGGGCCUCAACAGGCCAGUGUGAGGCAGGAGCUGACACUUGGGCAGGUUGCAAGAGGCAUGAGUUGGGCGAAAAGAGGCCACCGUGAGGGAGGAGUUGGGCCUGUACAAGUUGCCGAAAGGCAGGAGCAGCUUUGGACUGGAGAGGCAGCAGACAGGGAAGAGCUGGGCGUGGAGAGUCUGCUGUGAGGCAGAGGCUGGGCCUGUACAUGCCCUCGGGAAGCAGGAGGCUGGGCCUGGAGAGGCCGACUUGAGGAAGUUUUGCUCCUGGAAAGGCCACUUAGAGACAAGAGCUGGGUGUGAAGAGGCUGACUUGAGGUCGAUUUUGGCCUACAGAAGCCACCGGUAGCUAGGAGUUGGCCCUGGAGAGGCUGACUUGAGGACAGUUUUGGCCUGUAGAGGCCACUGGGAGGGAGAGCUUGGUCUGGAGAGGCCAACUGGAGUAAGUU
rnacentral:lncRNA from 1 species